CGGGGUGAGUAAUGUCUGGGAAACUGCCUGAUGGAGGGGGAUAACUACUGGAAACGGUAGCUAAUACCGCAUAACGUCGCAAGACCAAAGUGGGGGACCUUCGGGCCUCAUGCCAUCAGAUGUGCCCAGAUGGGAUUAGCUAGUAGGUGGGGUAAUGGCUCACCUAGGCGACGAUCCCUAGCUGGUCUGAGAGGAUGACCAGCCACACUGGAACUGAGACACGGUCCAG
rnacentral:rRNA from 1 species